rnacentral:rRNA from 1 species
GGGAUACGUAAGCAAGACGUUCAAACACCCGAUCCCAUCCCGACCUCGAUCUGUGAAAUCGUCUUGUGCCAUAUGUACUGAGGUAGCUCGGGAGACGUGGUCAAAGCCCGUA